UGCAACCCGACUCCGUGAAGCUGGAUUCGCUAGUAAUCGCGCAUCAGCCAUGGCGCGGUGAAUACGUUCCCGGGCCUUGUACACACCGCCCGUCAAGCCAUGGAAGCCGGGGGCGCUUGAAGUGCGUUGCCGCAAGGCGCGCCCUAGAGCGAAACCGGUGACUGGGGCUAAGUCGUAACAAGGUACC
rnacentral:rRNA from 1 species